UUGACCUCAAAUCAGGUAGGACUACCCGCUGAACUUAAGCAUAUCAAUAAGCGGAGGAAAAGAAACUAACAAGGAUUCCCCUAGUAACUGCGAGUGAAGCGGGAAAAGCUCAAAUUUGAAAUCUGGCAGUCUUUUUUUUCUUCUUUGGCUGUCCGAGUUGUAAUCUAGAGAAGUGCUUACCUGCACUGGAC
rnacentral:rRNA from 1 species